CGCAUGGAUAUUCUGUGAGAUGCACUUCGGCUCCAUAUAAACAAUACAAAUACACCACAAAAGACGUGUGGGAGACAAUUUUCAGCUCAACAAGAUUUGCAAUGGGUUUGACAAGAAAAUAAAGGUGAAAGAGCCUAGCAUGCCUAAACAGUCAGUAGAAUGUCAUCCAACAACUAGCCAAUGUAGGCCAACCACACAACACAAUCCUGUCAAUUCAGAACUGAGUGCAUUAAGAGUUCGUCGUAAAACAUCUGUGAAAUUUCUUGGACGAACAAUAAAACACAAAUGGAAUCAUGGAACAGUAAUAAACAUUUUACAUGGCAGUGAUGGUAUAGAUGCUGUUUAUGAAAUUCUUUAUGUAAAUUCAGAUGAAUUAACAAUAAUUAACCACCUUAUA